rnacentral:rRNA from 1 species
UACGUAGGGGGCAAGCGUUGUCCGGAUUUAUUGGGCGUAAAGAGCGUGUAGGCGGCUUGGUAGGUCCCGCGUCAAAACCUGAGGCUCAACCUCAGUUCGCGUGGGAAACCACCUAGCUAGAGUCCGGAAGAGGAGAACGGAAUUCCCAGUGUAGCGGUGAAAUGCGCAGAUAUUGGGAAGAACACCAGUGGCGAAGGCGGUUCUCUGGGACGGUACUGACGCUGAGACGCGAAAGCGUGGGGAGCGAACAGG